rnacentral:rRNA from 1 species
GACGAACGCUGGCGGCGUGCUUAACACAUGCAAGUCGAACGGUAGGGCCCUUCGGGGUACACGAGUGGCGAACGGGUGAGUAACACGUGGGUGAUCUGCCCUGCACUUCGGGAUAAGCCUGGGAAACUGGGUCUAAUACCGGAUAGGACAACUGCCUGCAUGGGUGGUGGUGGAAAGCUUUUGCGGUAUGGGAUGGGCCCGCGGCCUAUCAGAUUGUUGGUGGGGUGAUGGCCUACCAAGGCGACGACGGGUAGCCGGCCUGAGAGGGUGACCGGCCACACUGGGACUGAGAUACGGCCCAGACUCCUACGGGAGGCAGCAGUGGGGAAUAUUGCACAAUGGGCGCAAGCCUGAUGCAGCGACGCCGCGUGAGGGAUGACGGCCUUCGGGUUGUAAACCUCUUUCAGCACCGACGAAGCGCAAGUGACGGUAGGUGCAGAAGAAGGACCGGCCAACUACGUGCCAGCCGCCGCAGUAA